rnacentral:rRNA from 1 species
CCUACGGGAGGCAGCAGUGGGGAAUAUUGCACAAUGGGGGAAACCCUGAUGCAGCGACGCCGCGUGAAGGAAGAAGUAUUUCGGUAUGUAAACUUCUAUCAGCAGGGAAGAAAAUGACGUUACUUGACUAAGAAGCCCCGGCUAACUACGUGCCAGCAGCCGCGGUCUGACGUAGGGGGCAAGCGUUAUCCGGAUUUACUGGGUGUAACGGGAGCGUAGGCGGUGCAGCAAGUCAGAAGUGAAAGCCCGGGGCUCAACUCCGGGACUGCUUUUGAUACUGUUGAACUAGAUUGCAGGAGAGGUAAGUGGAAUUCCUAGUGUAGCGGUGAAAUGCGUAGAGAUUAGGAGGAACACCAGUGGCGAAGGCGGCUUACUGGACGGUAAAUGACGCUGAGGCUCGAAAGCGUGGGGAGCAAACAGGAUUAGAUACCCGUGUAGUC